CAUGGCAUUGGCUCUUGGUAGGAGUGACCGAGUGAGCUCUGUGAUGUGGGCAACAAGUUACAGACCAUUAUGCAGUGGUUCUGUUUUGCAGUUUGAAAUAAGGAAUUGGAACUGCAACAUCCUGAAAUACUUGACAAACUACGGGAAGAAACAUCAAGAACUUGCUCCCCAUGAAACAACUCCACAAUAUCAUUGUCACAUGCUAUUUUAUUUGCAAUGAGCAUAGAGAUCCUCGCGAUUGACCCAUAUGAAGUAACUUUAGCAAAGCUUGCUCUCUACCCUAUUAAAGAAUUGUUGUCUUUUUGUAACAUGAGUUACCCAUUUUUUAUUGGACAGCAUACCACUUUUGAGACGUUAAGUGAUAAUGAUAGUGGUUGAUAAGUUGUAUUGAGUUUUGCCUUACCUGUCCACCCUAAAACGUGUUAUCAGCCAAUGUGAAAGUGUAUAUAUUGCAAUGUAAGGCUCAUUGUGGUAUAUGUAUAUACAUGCAAUGGCAGACUCAUUGUGGCUGUUAUAGUCA